rnacentral:rRNA from 1 species
UAAUACGUAGGAGGCGAGCGUUGUCCGGAUUUACUGGGCGUAAAGGGCGUGUAGGCGGCCCGUUAAGUUGCUGCUGAAAUACCCUGGCCUAACCAGGGGGGGAGCAGCGAUACUGGCGGGCUUGAGGGCAGCAGAGGAAGGUGGAAUUCCCGGUGUAGUGGUGACAUGCGUAGAUAUCGGGAGGAACACCAGUGGCGAAGGCGGCCUUCUGGGCUGUACCUGACGCUGAGGCGCUAAAGCGUGGGGAGCGAACCGGAUUAGAUACCCGGGUAGUCCACGCCCUAAACGAUGGACACUAGGUAUGGGGGGUAUCGACCCCCUCCGCGCCGAAGCUAACGCUUUAAGUGUCCCGCCUGGGGACUACGGCCGCAAGGCUA